GACGUAGGGUCCAAGCGUUGUCCGGAUUUACUGGGCUUAAAGAGUUCGUAGGCGGCAUUGCAAGUAGGGUGUGAAAGCCCUCGGCUCAACCGAGGAAUUGCGCUCUAAACUGCAGUGCUAGAGGAACCUAGAGGUGAGCAGAACAGAUGGUGGAGCGGUGAAAUGCGUUGAUAUCAUCUGGAAUACCGGAGGCGAAGGCGGCUCACUGGGAGUUUUCUGACGCUGAGGAACGAAAGCCAGGGUAGCGAACGGG
rnacentral:rRNA from 1 species